rnacentral:rRNA from 1 species
UACGUAGGGCGCAAGCGUUGUCCGGAAUUAUUGGGCGUAAAGAGCUCGUAGGCGGCCUGUUACGUCUGCUGUGAAAUCCCGGGGCUUAACCCCGGGCGUGCAGUGGAUACGGGCAGACUGGAGUUCGGCAGGGGAGACUGGAAUUCCCGGUGUGAGCGGUGAAAUGCGUAGAGAUCGGGAGGAAGGCCGGUGGCGAAGGCGGCGCUCUGGAACGUUUCUGACACUGAGGCUCGAGAGCGUGGGGAGCAAACAGG